CUGUGAAAUAUAUUUCUUAGAAACCGACCAAUCGCAACAGUUAUACGUCAGAGUCUCCGAGGUUUCCUAUUGCAACGAAAAUUUUCUCUGAUCGAGUGAAGGAGAGCACGCCUCGUAUGCAGACAACUGGUUUUGAGCUGAUGGAAAAGUCGGGGCGAGCACAACAAAGGCAGGACAGGACAGGAUGACACGUCAAGUCGACCGCGAACCGACUCGUGAACAAUGGCCGGGCUUCAGUGGACCCGCGGAAUGACCAUGCAAUUACGCAAGUCAACGCUUGUUCCGCGAGUUCCCGAUCCAAAGAGCCGACUACGAGUGCGAUGAAGUGACAGCGACAUAUUGGGAUGAAAGGUUACAGGGUUCGUGAGACGGUUCUUCUUGAGACACGUGUUUAUCUGUAAUUUGUAGCGAGUCGAGCUGGCGCUGUUUAUGUAUUGCAUCUCUAGAAGACUGAAGUAAAGAAGUCACUAUAGUACCUGAGGGUCUCAACAAAGGUCGAGUUCUCAGAUGUUCUCCACAACGUUCGGCGCUGCAUGCUCACCGACAGCGACAACGCCGAUGGGACAAAGCAUGAUCUUCACCUUCCUGCAGAAACCUCAUGGAAUUCUUGAGUUCAGACAGCUUCAGUGUCAUUUAGGUGUGGCAAGAAUUUUUCCAGCAGCGUUCGAACUGGGGAUGUGACAGACGUGUAUUGCUGUGUUGAGACUGUGAUGUCUCCAGUGUGCCAUGUCAGUGCGACACCACUGUGUCGUCAGCAGCCAGUCUCCCGGUGUGUGCCAGAGGUCGCUGGCAGCGUGGUAUCACAUUGUAUGCUGUGUUAUAAGUGCCAGGGUGCGGUCCAAAUCAAACUACUAAUGUAUGGCUAAUACUCAAUUCGACACUCAAUUCGUGUUUGUUAUUUAGAACUAUCGUUGUUACAGUAACGAAUAAGGAAAAAAUAAUAAACUAAUAUAAGAGCACGACCACACCGCAUUUUAGUGCAUCAAUUAAAUUUUAAAAUAAAGUGCUUUUUUCAUAUGGAUAUGCAGGUAUGUGAAUUAUUUCCUCAGAUUAAAAAAAAAACAACAACAAAAAAAAAAAAAAACAGCGCAAACGAGGUGAGAGUACGUACCCUGGUGCAUUUCUUUACCAAUAAUAUCUUAGUGACUACUCUUUUCAAAGAUCGUCUUGUGCCACCCGAGGAAUUUUAUGUUGAAAAUGUGAUUCUUAAAGUGAUUUUAAUCAUAUUUCAGCAAUUGCGUAUCUAUAUGUAUAUUUUGGUGUUUUUUAUAUAUAAGACAGCUAUAGAUAUAUCAAAUAGCAUAUUUUAAAUCUAAACACUUAUACUGAUCACC